rnacentral:tRNA from 1 species
GGGAUAUUAGCUCAGGUGGUAGAGCACUUGUAGAGCACUUGACUUUUAAUCAAGUUGUCCGGGGUUCGAAUCCCCGAUGUCUCA